CCUACGGGAGACAGCAGUGGGGAAUAUUGCGCAAUGGGCGCAAGCCUGACGCAGCGACGCCGCGUGAGGGAUGAAGGUCUUCGGAUCGUAAACCUCUUUCAGUAGGGAAGAACGGUCAUUGUGUUAAUCAGUAGUUAAUUGACGUUAACUGCAAAGGAAGCACCGGCUAACUCCGUGCCAGCAGCCGCGGUAAUACGGAGGGUGCGUGCGUUAAUCGGAAUUACUGGGCGUAAAGCGCUCGUAGGCGGUAUGUCAAGUCAAGGGUGAAAGCCCCGGGCUCAACCUGGGAAGUGCCUUUGAAACUGGCAAACUGGAGUGUGUUAGAGGGGGGUGGAA
rnacentral:rRNA from 1 species